AAGGAAGAAGAGGAGGAAGGAGAAGAAGGAGAAAGUCUAUUUAAUCAUUGUUGCUAUUUUUCCUUCUUUGCUACAAAGGCAGUUGGAAGCCCUGAAGGUCUCAUACGUUCCAGUAGAGGACAUUGCAUGUCCUUUGAAAGAAAAUUUCCAUUUGAUACACAUUAUUAAGCACGAUUUUAGUAAGUGAAAAGAGAACAAACCAUUAAUGGAGUGCACAGCCAAGAAUGGAAUAUAAGGUAAUAAAUUUUUUUCAUCUUUAUUGUAUCAUCAAUCUUUGAGGGCAGCAAAGGAGGUUCUGUUCUUUUGUUUAUCCCAUUAUUUCUCUGUCUUGGAGAAUCAUUGUGUUUUACUAAUUUUGUGAAGAUUUAAAUGAAGGGAUUUAAGGAAUACUUUUUUCUUCCAAAUGCUUAGGGAAUUUAUUGAGCUAUUUUCCUGGUCUGGUAUUAAAUCUAUCCCAGAUGGGACUUCACAUUUGCCCAAGGUUUAUAUAAUAAUAUAAUAAAAAUGACUACAUCAAAGACAUUCUGUUUAGUACUUGCACACACACACACACUCUCUGUUUUCAAUACUUGACAAAUAUUUAACAUUGUUUCCUUUUACUUCCUUUGACACUGAAUUUUAUAUUACUUCCUAGGAAGGAAAAAUAAUAUGACUAGGAUCCUACUGCCACAGGACUCAAGAGUUGCCUUCCAAACAUGACUUUCAAAAAAGUGAGAAAUGGUGAACAGGGGGCAGAUCAGAACUUUCGGCCUAUUUAAUGAUUGACUGUAGACUCACCGCCUAAAUCGCUUUAGACCCUUCCUGAUUUCUUUUUGUUCCAGGGUCAUGGACUAGUACUUAUUUUCAUGGGUGACUUAUUUCUUUCUUCCUCCUUCAGAUUCAGAUUGAGAAGGGUGCCCGCACUAACGAGAACAGUCCCCUUCUCCCCCCCCUCCUGCCCCUCCUCUUCCUUUGUCUUUGUUGAAUAAAACAGAUGUGGUGAGCAAUUCUUUUUAUACCUUUAUAUUUUAUAUUUGACAAGUGCACUAAGUAGUAUCAAUUUCUAAGCAUCUAUCUUUUUAUAGUUUAAACUUUUAUCAGAGAAAUACAUAAACUCAGAUGAAAAAAUCAUAAAUGUUUAACAAGGCUUUUUAAUGAAAACCAGUAUCCCC
rnacentral:lncRNA from 10 species